rnacentral:pre_miRNA from 1 species
AGAGGAAUAGCUGGGUCAAAUAGUGGUUCCAUUCCCAGCUUAUCAGUAAGGAAUCUCCAUACUGCUUUCCAAAUUGGCCGCACUAAUUUGCACUCCCACCAGCAAU